rnacentral:rRNA from 1 species
GACGAACGCUGGCGGCGUGCUUAACACAUGCAAGUCGAACGGAAAGGCCCUGCUUUUGUGGGGUGCUCGAGUGGCGAACGGGUGAGUAACACGUGAGUAACCUGCCCUUGACUUUGGGAUAACUUCAGGAAACUUGGGCUAAUACCGGAUAGGAGCUCCUGCUGCAUGGUGGGGGUUGGAAAGUUUCGGCGGUUGGGGAUGGACUCGCGGCUUAUCAGUUUGUUGGUGGGGUAGUGGCUUACCAAGGCUUUGACGGGUAGCCGGCCUGAGAGGGUGACCGGCCAAAUUGGGACUGAGGUACGGCCCAGACUCCUACGGGAGGCAGCAGUGGGGAAUAUUGCACAAUGGGCGGAAGCCUGAUGCAGCAACGCCGCGUGCGGGAUGACGGCCUUCGGGUUGUAAACCGCUUUCGCCUGUGACGAAGCGUGAGUGACGGUAAUGGGUAAAGAAGCACCGGCUAACUACGUG